UCGGAAAGUCUCGUUUACUUUCACUUUCGAUUUACUACUUCCGGGCAGCAGUCGAAAAAUGUCACUUUGUUUUGCGUUGGUUAUGCUCAGAUGACAAGUGUUAAAAUGAACCUACAGCCUAUAUAGAUUCCCUACUUAUGCAAAAAGAAGAAGAAGUGGAUUUAUAGUUGCAGAUGCUGUUAUAUACAUCAUUUCCUUCAGAAGUAUCAAUGUGUUGGCGGCUGUUAUGAAGAGAAUGGGGCCCAUUUUAACAACUUCUAGGAUGGGCAGUACUUGGGUUCAUACCAGUGAUCAAUUUCUCAUGACUCUUAUGAAGUUGCACCUAAAUCUAAGGGAUCUACAUUUAGCAGGCCAGAGGGCUCAAUGCCGAAUUUACCUCUGAAAAAAUCGCAAUGGAUACAACAAACAUAACACUGAAUUUAACUUUAAAAUCAAAUAACUAGUCAUUAUCUGACAGCAACUACAUUGUGCAAAAUUUGUCACACAGCAAAGGCUAUCACUUGUGUAGCAUAAUUGUUCUGAAUUCUAUCCAGAAUCCACCUCUGAUGGUGACAUUGUUGAUCACUGAGGUGUAUUGGAGAUGUUGAAGCCAUAUGAUAUAUGAUUCUUGCUAAUAAAGGAUUUGAUAUAUUUGAUAAACUUUAAUCAGGAGUGACAUUAAACAUAUCACCUUUUCUUUCAUCAAAAUCUCAUUUCAGUAAGGAUGAAGCACAGCUGUUACAAGACCAGGAAGAGUCAAAUUCAUGUGGAGUGUACAAUUGAAUAAUUAAAAACAUCCAUAUUCUAAAUCAUAUACCUUCACAAUACAGACACACAUAUAUAUAUAUAUAUAUAUAUGUCCACUAAGAUUUUCAACUCUGUGUGACUCUUGUACAUUUGCAAAUCCUCUACUGAAGGAAAUAGCUGAUAUGAAUUCCACAAUUUAUCAAAUCUUAUCUUUGGACUGAGAUACUAUAAAUGUACAACUUCUUACUCACAUUAUUCUGCAUUGUCAAGUUGUAUUAAAUGCAUACAAGUAAAUGAUAAAGUGAACAUUUAUUUAAGGUUGCUACUCAAAGAAAUUGUUACAAUGGUGAUUCAUGCACAUCUUUACACUGAUCAAUUGUAGCAAAAACAAAAUAAAACUAAUGGAAGACAUUUGAAUUUUCA